UUUUUUUUUUACUAGAUAGCGAUCCUAAAAACUACAUUCCUUUAAAAUAUGAACAAAUACGUUCAAUUCCUUAAUUAUUUGAUUCAUGGGUGAUACAAGUUUGGUCAUUUGGAAUGCAACUCAAGGACUGUGGCUUCUUAAUUUUUUUACACUUUGUUCCACUACUUAUAGUCAAUGUUUUAAAAAAAAAUAAAAAACCCAGUACAGAGUUUUGAAGCGAUGGAGGAAAUUUACGUCAAUAUGGAACCUGUUGGACAAAGUGCAUCUCAUCCCACAGGUUUCUGUUCAGGUAGCAGCAGCAGCUCCAAAGAGAGGCUCUGCCUCGGUGUGGCCGUAUCUUUGGGAAUCCUGAACGUUUUCCUUUUGACCGAACUCAUCGCCCUCAGUGUACACACUCAUGACAUGACAUGACAGCAGAUUUUUCUGACAUCAGCAACAUUCUGACUGAGCAGAACAGCAACAAGUUUCCCUCCGUGAACGCUAACUUCACUGAUAACUUCACUGAUAACUU